UACAGAGGUGGCAAGCGUUGUUCGGAAUUACUGGGCGUAAAGGGCGAGUAGGUGGCCAUCUAAGUCAGACGUGAAAUCCCCCGGCUUAACCUGGGAACUGCGUCUGAUACUGGACGGCUUGAGUAUGGGAGAGGAACGUAGAAUUCCAGGUGUAGCGGUGAAAUGCGUAGAUAUCUGGAGGAAUACCGGUGGCGAAGGCGGCGUUCUGGACCGGUAUUGACGCUGAGGCGCGAAAGCCAGGGGAGCAAACGGG
rnacentral:rRNA from 1 species